AGAGUUUGAUCCUGGCUCAGGAUGAACGCUGGCGGCGUGCCUAACACAUGCAAGUCGAACGAAGCUUGACGGAUGAUUUCUUCGGAAUGAAACCAGAUAUGACUUAGUGGCGGACGGGUGAGUAACACGUGAGCAACCUGCCUUUCAGAGGGGGAUAACGGCUGGAAACGGUCGCUAAUACCGCAUGAUGUGUUCGGAUGGCAUCAUCUGAACAUCAAAGAUUUAUCGCUGAAAGAUGGGCUCGCGUCUGAUUAGAUAGUUGGUGGGGUAACGGCCUACCAAGUCGACGAUCAGUAGCCGGACUGAGAGGUUGAACGGCCACAUUGGGACUGAGAUACGGCCCAGACUCCUACGGGAGGCAGCAGUGGGGAAUAUUGCACAAUGGGCGCAAGCCUGAUGCAGCGACGCCGCGUGCGGGAUGACGGCCUUCGGGUUGUAAACCGCUUUUGAUCGGGAGCAAGCCUUCGGGUGAGUGUACCUUUCGAAUAAGCACCGGCUAACUACGUGCCAGCAGCCGCGGUAAUACGUAGGGUGCAAGCGUUAUCCGGAAUUAUUGGGCGUAAAGGGCUCGUAGGCGGUUCGUCGCGUCCGGUGUGAAAGUCCAUCGCUUAACGGUGGAUCUGCGCCGGGUACGGGCGGGCUGGAGUGCGGUAGGGGAGACUGGAAUUCCCGGUGUAACGGUGGAAUGUGUAGAUAUCGGGAAGAACACCAAUGGCGAAGGCAGGUCUCUGGGCCGUUACUGACGCUGAGGAGCGAAAGCGUGGGGAGCGAACAGGAUUAGAUACCCUGGUAGUCCACGCCGUAAACGGUGGAUGCUGGAUGUGGGGCCCGUUCCACGGGUUCCGUGUCGGAGCUAACGCGUUAAGCAUCCCGCCUGGGGAGUACGGCCGCAAGGCUAAAACUCAAAGAAAUUGACGGGGGCCCGCACAAGCGGCGGAGCAUGCGGAUUAAUUCGAUGCAACGCGAAGAACCUUACCUGGGCUUGACAUGUUCCCGACAGCCGUAGAGAUAUGGCCUCCCUUCGGGGCGGGUUCACAGGUGGUGCAUGGUCGUCGUCAGCUCGUGUCGUGAGAUGUUGGGUUAAGUCCCGCAACGAGCGCAACCCUCGCCCUGUGUUGCCAGCACGUCAUGGUGGGAACUCACGGGGGACCGCCGGGGUCAACUCGGAGGAAGGUGGGGAUGACGUCAGAUCAUCAUGCCCCUUACGUCCAGGGCUUCACGCAUGCUACAAUGGCCGGUACAACGGGAUGCGACACGGCGACGUGGAGCGGAUCCCUGAAAACCGGUCUCAGUUCGGAUUGGAGUCUGCAACCCGACUCCAUGAAGGCGGAGUCGCUAGUAAUCGCGGAUCAGCAACGCCGCGGUGAAUGCGUUCCCGGGCCUUGUACACACCGCCCGUCAAGUCAUGAAAGUGGGUAGCACCCGAAGCCGGUGGCCUAACCCUUUGUGGAUGGAGCCGUCUAAGGUGAGACUCGUGAUUGGGACUAAGUCGUAACAAGGUAGCCGUACCGGAAGGUGCGGCUG
rnacentral:rRNA from 1 species